AAGUUUAUUAUAUUGUACCUAUAAUACUUGUAAGUUAGAAAAGUUCCUUUAAUAUUUAAACAAUCCUAAUAAUUGGUAUCAUAGAAAUAACUAAUUUUUCAUCCAAUCAGUUCAGUUUGCACUCAUCUUCAGUUCAGUUCAGUUCAGUUUGCACUCAAGUCGUCCAGCGCUAAAUAACUCAGUUGUCUGAAAAUUUUGUUUUUGGAAGACAGAACGAAAUACUCAAAAUCUAUAAGAUAUCCCUUCAUGGUGACUUUCGAAUGGUCGCUGCGCUUAAAUACACUACCACGUGACAGCUUAGUGAUCAGAAAGUGAUAUUUACAUUAUUAUAAAAUUUUUUCUCGGAAUUCUGUAGUCUUCAGUUUUGUUGCAAAUAAAUAAUAAUAAUGGAUAUAUAUGGGUGUCAUCACCCAUAUAUAUCCAUUACUAUUAUAAUUGUAGAAUAUAUCACUCCAAUUAUCAGAUGAUUUCUUCGAACUCAUCAUCAGGGGGUUACUGAAUAAAUAAGUCUAAGAUUACUUGCAGAUGAUUCUGAUUAAAUACUAUUAUUUUAAAACCGUCUCUAAGGUUAAGACUAGAGUAGGAAAUAUAGAAAUUCUUUUAACAACAAAAAAGGAAACAAUUCUUUUACGGUUUAAUACAAAGUGAGAUUUAAAUUUUAUUUUCCUCGCUUAAAUAAUAUAUUUUCACAAUUGUGAUUUUAAAAAUUAUCUGAAUAAAAACAUAUUACUACACUCGUAUAUAUAAAAAGAAAGAAUUAUUUACAGGUUUAAUAUAUAUAUAGUAGAACUUCGGAUAACGACCACAAUCCGUUCGGAAAAGUGGGUCGUUAUCCGAAACAAUUUUCCCCAUAAGAAAUAAAGGAAAUAGAAAUAAUUGGUUCCUAGCCCCUGUUGACUCGCUAAUAUAUGAAAGUUACAGGCUAUAUAGAUAUGUUUUUUAAAUGAGAAUACUUAUAAUACCGUACAAAUGGAGUUAAAUAAAAAUAAAAACAUUAAAGAAAGCAUUUAAACAUAAGAAAACAUAGGAAAACUUGCCGUUUUGACUGCCAUGAGAUGGCGUGGCAAAAACUACUCACUCCUUUUGACAUAUUAGCUUCUUUAAGCUGCUCGUUUUUCUUUAAAAUCAUCGAGAUUGUCGACUUUGACAUGCUGUAUUCUCUUGUGAUAUUUGACACAUGCAUGCCUCGUUCAUACUUGGCAAAUUCAAUUGUUUGCCGCUGCUUUAUCACUGCACUGCUACCAUUUCUCUUAAUCUUCUUUGGAGCCAUGAUUGAGGGCUAUUUUAUUAAAAUAAAGCAAAAAAAAAAAUCACUAAAUAAGAAGGAUGCACAACGAUAAAGAUAAUGAACGUCUGUUCGUAACCAUGUCUCGAUCGCAAAGGAAGAUGGGAAGCACUUGGCCGCUGUCCACUGGUCACGUGUGCGUGACAUAGCAAUCUGUUCGCUAUCCGAAAUUUUGUUCGCUAUCGGAGGCAAAUUUUUAGUAAAAUUUUUGGUCGUUAUCCGAAUUGUUUGUUAUCAAAGGCGUUCGCUAACCGAGGUUCCACUGUAAAUUAUAUUUUUUUAUU
rnacentral:lncRNA from 1 species